AAGUCUGGUGCCAGCAGCCGCGGUAAUUCCAGCUCCAAUAGCGUAUAUUAAAGUUGUUGCAGUUAAAAAGCUCGUAGUUGAAUUUCGGGGUUAGUAGGCUGGUCAUGCCUCUGGUAUGUACUGGUCUCACUGAUUCCUCCUUCCUGAUGAACCGUAAUGCCAUUAAUUUGGUGUUGCGGGGAAUUUGGACUGUUACUUUGAAAAAAUUAGAGUGUUUAAAGCAAGCUAACGCUUGAAUACAUUAGCAUGGAAUAAUGAAAUAGGACGUUCGAUCCUAUUUUGUUGGUUUCUAGGAUUGACGUAAUGAUUAAUAGGGAUAGUUGGGGGCAUUAGUAUUCAAUUGUCAGAGGUGAAAUUCUUGGAUUUAUUGAAGACUAACUACUGCGAAAGCAUUUGCCAAGGAUGUUUUCAUUAAUCAAGAACGAAAGUUAGGGGAUCGAAGACGAUCAGAUACCGUCGUAGUCUUAACCAUAAACUAUGCCGACUAGGGAUCGGAUGAUGUUAAUUUUUUAAUGACUCAUUCGGCGCCUUACGGGAAACCAAAGUGUUUGGGU
rnacentral:rRNA from 1 species